CCUACGGGUGGCAGCAGUGGGGGAUAUUGCACAAUGGGGGGAACCCUGAUGCAGCGACGCCGCGUGGGUGAAGAAGCGUUUCGGCGCGUAAAGCCCUGUCAGCAGGGAAGAAAAUGACGGUACCUGAAGAAGAAGCCCCGGCUAACUACGUGCAAGCAGCCGCGGUAAUACGUGGGGGGCAAGCGUUAUCCGGAUUUAUGGGGUUUAAAGGGGGCGCAGGCGGAAGGUCAAGUCAGCGGUAAAAUUGAGUGGUUCAACCUCGUAGAGCCGUUGAAACUGGUUAUCUUGAGUGAGUGAGAGGUAUGCGGAAUUCGUGGUGUAGCGGUGAAAUGCGUAGAUAUCAGGCAGAACGCCGAUGGCGAAGGCAGCAUACCGGCGGGCAACUGACGCUGAUGCACGAAAGUGUGGGUAGCGAACAGGAUUAGAUACCCGAGUAGUC
rnacentral:rRNA from 1 species